rnacentral:rRNA from 2 species
CCUACGGGAGGCAGCAGUAGGGAAUCUUCCACAAUGGACGGAAGUCUGAUGGAGCAACGCCGCGUGAGCGAAGAAGGUCUUCGGAUCGUAAAGCUCUGUUGUAAGGGAAGAAUAAGUACAGUAGUAACUGGCUGUACCUUGACGGUACCUUACGAGAAAGCCACGGCUAACUACGUGCCAGCAGCCGCGUAAU